ACUCACAGUUCGGCGCGCUCGGUGCCAUCAUACUGGGAUUUUUCCGUUGGAGAUAAUUUUUUUUGGAGGUGAAUCUUGCUGUGGCGAAGAACGAGACUGCUUUUACGCAGCCUUUUUAGGAGCAGACUCUUUGGUAGCCGUUUUUGAGGUAGAGCCCCUGUCAGACACUGCUGCUGGCGACUGUUGGCCAGAAGGCAUCCUGGACGCAGGAUCAGAGGCUGGUCUGAGGGAUUUCUUCACCAUCAGGAGUUUCAACUGGAGAGCCCUAGCCUUCCUUGUCCUAGUGGUCAAUUUUUUGUACUGGGGAUAUGUAGUGAGGCGGCCUGGCUCCCAGCCGCACCUGAGAGGGACGAGGGACGGCCAGAACAGCCGCCUCAGUGGGCGGAGCCACCACCGCCUGUCCCCGCCCCCCGGAAGUCAAGGGGCGGGACAGGAAGUAUAAAGGCCCGGGCCCAGCGCUCAGUUGCAGCCCGGCCGCUGGAGAGGACAGACGCUGGUGCCCGAGCUUCUGCUGAACCAAGCCUUCCCCGAGCCUGGUACCCAGAGGAGGACUGGCCGAGCCUGCCCCGAGCCCGGUACACAGAGGAGGAGUCGAGCCCACCUGUACACCCGUCUCCUGAGGAGCCAAUGCUGGUGGACCCCCCUGCGGAAUCCACGACGAUACAGGAAUUUCUAAUGUAUCCAGAACGCAUGGGCCUAGUUUGGUAGAGAAUCACCAGGUGGCAUUCUACAUCUACUUUGCAAAGUUCCCAGAUACCUGCACCGAAUGAUCACCCCAUUCAUAUUUCAUCUUGGCUGUUGGAACAGUCCUUCUUGCCAUUAAAAUGACAGAUCUGGAAGUGGAAAAUGUGAGGACAUAUGGUGCAUGGAGAGUCCA